AUGAGUAUCACGCCGAAGACAGCAGGUGCCGUAAGGCAUAAGUGGAAACGCCUGCCGAGGAAAAUACAUUCUUAUACAAGAAUUGAGUCCUCUUUGUCGUGCGCAAAGAGGUUUUUUUAUUU
rnacentral:sRNA from 1 species